AUUGUCCUCCCAUUUUCUUUACUUUGUCGCUACUUUUUCUCUCCAGAGAGUACUGACUUCGUUUACUUGGGUGUAGAGAGAGAAAGAGAGAGUUUUAGAGAGAGAAAGAGGGUAAUGAGAUGACAGAGGCGAGGAUGAUGAUGGAGUGGGAAAAGCAACAACAGCAACAGCAAGAAGAAUUGUUGUUGAAUGUGAACAACAGCAGCAACAACAACAAUGGAAUGUUUGUGAAGGUCAUGACUGAUGAGCAAAUGGAAGUCCUCCGCAAACAAAUCGCAGUCUACGCCACCAUUUGUGAAGAGCUCGUCGAAAUGCACAAAUCCCUCACUUCUCACCACGAUCUCACAGGAGUCAGGCUGGGAAAUCUAUAUUGUGAUCCAUUAGUGACAUCUGCUGGCCACAAAAUUACUGGCAGACAACGGUGGACUCCAACACCUGUGCAGCUUCAAAUCCUGGAGCGUAUCUUUGAUCAAGGGAAUGGGACUCCAAGCAAGCAGAAGAUCAAAGAGAUAACCUCCGAAUUGUCUCAACACGGCCAAAUUUCUGAAACAAAUGUCUAUAAUUGGUUUCAGAAUAGGCGUGCCCGAUCAAAAAGAAAGCAACAAGUUGCAGGAACAAGCAAUGCUGAAUCAGAAGUUGAAACAGAGGUUGAAUCACCGAAUGAGAAGAAGACUAAGCCAGAGGAUUUCCAGUCUCAGUCUAACCCACCACCAAUGGCCAAGGAUUUGUGUUUCCAGAACCCUGAGAAAAGCUCUGGGAUGCAGACUGUAGAUUCACAGUGCAACAAAAUGGAGCCCAUGUUUUCUUCAAAUGGCAGUUCAAAAUGUGAAAGGAGUUUGGGCCAAAUGCCUUUCUACAAGUGUAUGGCAUCCAACCCAAAUCAAUUCUGAGGCCUCAUGUAUUGAUGAUGCCAUUUUGUCCAAGUGAACGCAUUAUGCAUAUGGGAUUGGAAAGAUGGAAGCAUCGGGGAGCUAUAAUAAUUAUUUGCGUCAUACGGAAGAUUAUAACAUGGCAGAAUGACACUGUUAUCAGCUGUUGCUAUUUUCGAACAACAAAUUUAAAUUGUGACCAGAAGAUGGAUAAACCUCAGAUGGUUUACUAGCCUGGCUAGCAAUUAAAAGUAAAAAGAACUUUUUUUGUUUGUGAUAUAUAUGAUGGUUCUUUCUUGACCGGCAUAGUAAAGUUUAGUACUUAACAGUUUGUUAAUACCAAGGGCUUUCUUUCGCUGA